rnacentral:rRNA from 1 species
GACGAACGCUGGCGGCGUGCUUAACACAUGCAAGUCGAACGGAAAGGCCCUGCUUUUGUGGGGUGCUCGAGUGGCGAACGGGUGAGUAACACGUGAGUAACCUGCCCUUGACUUUGGGAUAACUUCAGGAAACUGGGGCUAAUACCGGAUAGGAGCUCCUGCUGCAUGGCGGGGGUUGGAAAUUUUCGGCGGUUGGGGAUGGACUCGCGGCUUAUCAGCUUGUUGGUGGGGUAGUGGCUUACCAAGGCUUUGACGGGUAGCCGGCCUGAGAGGGUGACCGGCCACAUUGGGACUGAGAUACGGCCCAGACUCCUACGGGAGGCAGCAGUGGGGAAUAUUGCACAAUGGGCGGAAGCCUGAUGCAGCAACGCCGCGUGCGGGAUGACGGCCUUCGGGUUGUAAACCGCUUUCGCCUGUGACGAAGCGUGAGUGACGGUAAUGGGUAAAGAAGCACCGGCUAACUACGUG